UGGGGUAUAGCCAAGUGGUAAGGCAGGGGACUCUGAAUCCUCUAUGCGUAGGUUCGAAUCCUACUACCCCAACCA
rnacentral:tRNA from 1 species